UCCCUGGUGGUCUACUGGUUAAGACUCUGCACUUUCAAUGCAGGGGUGCGGGUUUGAUCCCAGGGAA
rnacentral:tRNA from 1 species